GCGGUGUUGCUGCGGGGAGAGUGAUGGCGGCGCCGCCCAAUGUGGGUGGAGGGGCCGGCGCGCCCGCCCGCGCAGGUGGACAGGUGCGUGCCCGGGCCUCAGCGGCCCCCGCCCCCGCCGCGGCGGGGCUCUCGCGGCCGGCACCCUCCUCCCGCCCGGCGCUGUGCCCCCCGGCGUCUGGCCGUUGGCCGGAGAGAGGCUUGAACCGCGGCUGACCUUAGCCUUUGUCCGUCGCCUCGGUGCCGCCGUCGCCGUCGAGACCGCCAGCCCCUCCGCGCUACAUUUCUUUUUUUACCACCACUCGGUCCCCCAGCGCGGCCACGGGCGCGUCAGGGCCGAGCCCCGCGCCGUUCCGCCCGCGUUGGAGAAAUGUUCCCGGUACCAGAAGGAAUGAAAGGACUUGGGGCUGGUCUCCAUGGCAACUGGGAGAAAGAGGGCACUCCCUCACUCCAUCAAGUUGAGCGGGACAGUGGGUUUUUCUAGCUUGCUAAUCAUUGGUAAGUGCCUCCCUUGGGACGCUGCAGUGUUCCUUGGACGAUAGCCCUCAUUUUCUUCACCUUUCCAGUAGUGACUGCUAGUAGCCGGCUGAACAAAAAAAAAAAAAAAAAAAGAUGAGCUUCUCUAUUGCUUGUUGAACAAAACUAACCAUGUUCCCUCCAAACUAGCCCCCCUCACUGUAGGGAUAACUCUGGAAACCCUAUAUCCAAACUCUGGAAAUUCCAGCUCCUGCAAGAAGCCACCCCAGAUGGAUCCUACAAGAACCAAGAACACCUGUAGCUAGUCUUCUAAAUCUCCGUGCCCGGUGUGGCCUUUCUGUCUACCCCCCACCAAUAUAGUCCUCCUUAACCUGAGGGAGCUUUCAUCCAAGCCGUGAGUUCUGAAGAAUCAGGAAUCACUACCAUCAUCCAAGGCUGCCAAGAUGACCCCCAAGAGCAAAACAACACCUGAAAUAUGGUAGUUUGGUUUUUGGCUUUUACAGUGUACAAAGUGCCUUUACAUGUCAUUUAAUCCUCCCAGCAACACUGGGACGAUGAAGAAAACUUAACCAGAGGCACACAGCUUAAAAAAUGACAGAGCCUGGAUUCCUGAGAAGUUCACCUGCUCUCUGUCUUCCAGUAACCAAAAGACACAGAUUCAGUAAAAUUCCAAUAAGUUUCUAGAAGGCGUUUUGUCCUCCCAAAUAAAUAUGUCUCUCUCCUCUCUGGUGUGAACCUACAGUUUAUGGCUAUCAUUGAAGUUUAUCCAAAAUAACAGAUGAAGCAUACGCUAAUGGCAAGACGUUUAUAAUCCUAAAUGAAAACUGCAAAUAAAUUGAGCGAAAGUAACCAGACAUGAAAGAAUACAUACCAUAUGAUUUAUGUAAAGUUCAACGUUAAUAAAAGAUCUUAGAAGUCAGGAUGAUGGUGUUUUGUGGGGGAAAGGGAAGAGUAGUGAUGACAGGACAAUAGAGAGACUUCUCUUAAGACUGGGAGUGUUCAUUUUCUGUAGUCUGGGUGGUAGCUACGUAGGUGUGUUCACUGUAAUAUGUCAUCAAGACGUUCACUUGUGCACUUUUCUGUAUGUUUUACUUAAACAUUUAUUUAAAAAAAUAACUUGAAGAUUUGUCUUGGA